GACGAACGCUGGCGGCAUGCCUAAUACAUGCAAGUCGAGCGAACAGAUGAAGUGCUUGCACUUCUGACGUUAGCGGCGAACGGGUGAGUAACACGUAAGGAAUCUACCUAUAAGCGGGGGAUAACAUUCGGAAACGGGUGCUAAUACCGCAUAAUAUCUUCUUCCGCAUGGAAGAAGAUUGAAAGACGGCUCUGCUGUCACUUAUAGACGACCUUGCGGUGCAUUAGUUAGUUGGUGGGGUAAUGGCCUACCAAGACGAUGAUGCAUAGCCGACCUGAGGGGGUGAUCGGCCACAUUGGGACUGAGACACGGCCCAAACUCCUACGGGAGGCAGCAGUAGGGAAUCUUCCGCAAUGGGCGAAAGCCUGACGGAGCAAUGCCGCGUGAGUGAAGAAGGCCUUCGGGUCGUAAAACUCUGUUAUAAGAGAAGAACAAAUUGUAGAGUAACUGCUACAGUCUUGACGGUAUCUUAUCAGAAAGCCACGGCUAACUACGUGCCAGCAGCCGCCGUAA
rnacentral:rRNA from 1 species